GAUGAACGCUGGCGGCGUGCUUAACACAUGCAAGUCGAACGGAAAGGCCCAAGCUUGCUUGGGUACUCGAGUGGCGAACGGGUGAGUAACACGUGGGUGAUCUGCCCUGCACUUCGGGAUAAGCCUGGGAAACUGGGUCUAAUACCGGAUAGGACGAUGGUUUGGAUGCCAUUGUGGAAAGUUUUUUCGGUGUGGGAUGUGCUCGCGGCCUAUCAGGUUGUUGGUGGGGUAAUGGCGUACCUGGGCGGCGACGGUGAGCCGGCCGGAGAGGGUGUACGGCCACACUGGGCUUGAGAGGCGGGCAAGAGUCCGACGUGAGGCAGCAAGGGGGAAUAUUGGACACUGCGAGCAAGCGUGAUGCAGGGAGGCCUCGUGGUGGUUGACGGCCUUUGUGUUGUAAGAUCCUCUCGCUAUGGAUGAAGCGUUUUUGUGACGGUACCUGGAGAAUAAGCACCGGCUAACUACGUG
rnacentral:rRNA from 1 species